CCUACGGGAGGCAGCAGUCGGGAAUUUUGGGCAAUGGGCGAAAGCCUGACCCAGCAACGCCGCGUGAAGGAUGAAAUCCCUCGGGAUGUAAACUUCGCAAGAACGGGAAGAAUAAGUCGGUGUAAAUACCACCGACGAUGACGGUACCGUUUGUAAGCUCCGGCUAACUCCGUGCCAGCAGCCGCGGUAAU
rnacentral:rRNA from 1 species